AGCAGCCGCGGUAAUUCCAGCUCCAAUAGCGUAUAUUAAAGUUGUUGCAGUUAAAAAGCUCGUAGUUGAAUUUCGGGAUCAUCAGGUCGGUCGUGCCUCCGGUAUGUACUGGUCUCGGUGGUUCCUCCUUCUUGUAGAACCGGAAUGCUAUUAAUUUGGUGUUGCGGGAAAACAGGACUGUUACUUUGAAAAAUUAGAGUGUUUAAAGCAGGCGAUCGCUUGAAUAUAUUAACAUGGAAUAAUGAAAUAGGACGUUUGAUCCUAUUUUGUUGGUUUCUAGGAUUGACGUAAUGAUUAAUAGGGAUAGUUGGGGGCAUUAGUAUUCAAUUGUCAGAGGUGAAAUUCUUGGAUUUAUUGAAGACUAACUACUGCGAAAGCAUUUGCCAAGGAUGUUUUCAUUAAUCAAGAACGAAAGUUAGGGGAUCGAAGACGAUCAGAUACCGUCGUAGUCUUAACCAUAAACUAUGCCGACUAGGGAUCGGAUGAUGUUAAUUUUUAAUGACUCAUUCGG
rnacentral:rRNA from 1 species